rnacentral:rRNA from 1 species
UAGAGUUUGAUCAUGGCUCAGGAUUAACGCUAGCGGCAAGCCUAACACAUGCUAGUCGUGGGGCAACACAAAAAUAAAGUAAUUUUUAUUUGGUGGCGACCGGCGAAUGGGUGAGUAACACGUAUGCAAUCUACCUUUUGCUGGUGUACAGCCAAAAGAAAUUCUGAUUAAUACACCAUAAUAUAAAGAUUCUGCAUGGACCCUUUAUUAAAGCUUAAGUGGCAAGAGAUGAGCCUGCGUCUGAUUAGGUUCGUUGGUGAGGUAAUGGCUCUACCAAGACUAUUAUCAGUAGGGGGCCUUAGCGGGAUAACCUCCACACUGGAACUGAGACAAGGACCAGACUUCUACGGGAGGCAGCAGUGAGGAAUAUUGGUCAAUGGAGGAAACUCUGAACCAGCUAUGCCGUGUGUAGGAUGACAGUCUUUUAGAUUGUAAACUACUUUUGUUUAGAAAUAAAAGUUCCUUCGUGUAAGGAAUCUGAAGGUACUAUGAGAAUAAGUGUCGGCUAAUUUCGUGCCAGCAGCCGCGGUAAUACGAGAGACACAAGCGUUAUCCGGAUUUAUUGGGCUUAAAGGGUGUGUAGGCUGUUUAUUAAGUCAGUAGUGAAAUCUUACAGCUUAACUGUAAAAUUGCUAUUGAAACUGGUUCUCUAGAGUAAGAUUGGAGCGUUUGGAAUGUAUGGUGUAGCGGUGAAAUGCGUAGAUAUCAUACAGAACACCAAUAGCGAAGGCAGGAUGCUAAAUCUUUACUGACGCUGAGGCACUAAAGCGUGGGGAGCAAACAGGAUUAGAUACCCUGGUAGUCCACGCCCUAAACUAUGAUCACUAGCUAUUGGAAAAACUAUAUUCAGUGGCUAAGCGAAAGCGUUAAGUGAUCCACA